GAUGAACGCUAGCGGGAGGCCUAACACAUGCAAGCCGAGCGGUAGAGAUCUUUCGGGAUCUUGAGAGCGGCGUACGGGUGCGGAACACGUGUGCAACCUGCCUUUAUCAGGGGGAUAGCCUUUCGAAAGGAAGAUUAAUACCCCAUAAUAUUUAGAAUGGCAUCAUUUUAAAUUGAAAACUCCGGUGGAUAGAGAUGGGCACGCGCAAGAUUAGAUAGUUGGUAGGGUAGCGGCCUACCAAGUCUGCGAUCUUUAGGGGGCCUGAGAGGGUGAUCCCCCACACUGGUACUGAGACACGGACCAGACUCCUACGGGAGGCAGCAGUGAGGAAUAUUGGACAAUGGGUGCGAGCCUGAUCCAGCCAUCCCGCGUGAAGGAUGACGGCCCUAUGGGUUGUAAACUUCUUUUGUAUAGGGAUAAACCUAGAUACGUGUAUCUAGCUGAAGGUACUAUACGAAUAAGCACCGGCUAACUCCGUGCCAGCCGCCGCAGUAA
rnacentral:rRNA from 1 species